GACGAACGCUGGCGGCGUGCUUAACACAUGCAAGUCGAACGGAAAGGCCCUGCUUUUGUGGGGUGCUCGAGUGGCGAACGGGUGAGUAACACGUGAGUAACCUGCCCUUGACUUUGGGAUAACUUCAGGAAACUGGGGCUAAUACCGGAUAGGAGCUCCUGCUGCAUGGUGGGGGUUGGAAAGUUUCGGCGGUUGGGGAUGGACUCGCGGCUUAUCCGCUUGUUGGUGGGGUAGUGGCUUACCAAGGCUUUGACGGGUAGCCGGCCUGAGAGGGUGACCGGCCACAUUGGGACUGAGAGACGGCCCAGACUCCUACGGGAGGCAGCAGGGGGGAAUAUUGCACAAUGGGCGGAAGCCUGAGGCAGCAACGCCGCGUGCGGGAUGACGGCCUUCGGGUUGUAAACCGCUUUCGCCUGUGACGAAGCGUGAGUGACGGUAAUGGGUAAAGAAGCACCGGCUAACUACGUG
rnacentral:rRNA from 1 species